GUCACACUCCUAGUAUCAGAGGCAGGAUUUGAAUGCAGGUCUUACUGACAUCGAGUCCAGACCUUUACCCGCUUAUCUAGUCCAACCUCUUCUUCCUACAGAUGUGGAAACUGAGUUUCAAAGAGGGAAAGUGAAGCUUGUCCAAGGCCACAUAUAUAGUAAAAGAAUUGAAAUUCAGACCCUCUGAAGCCAAAUCCAGGGAUUACACCAAGUGGAGGACAGAGGAGCUACACUUUUCCUAGGCUUCAACAAGGACAAUAAAAAAAAAACCAGGAAAAGGGAAGUUGAGAAGGGUUAUGUAAGCAGAGCGACCUCAGACACGGUGAACACCUGUUGGAACCAAAUUGAUUUAAAGAAGAAGGA
rnacentral:lncRNA from 1 species